AUGAUUAGUUAAUUGUUAUUCAUCUUCAGCUUAGCAUAGAUGAUUUUUUUUAUUCUAAUUAAUUGUAAUUAAUUAUAAUUUGCAAUUCUAAUUGUCCAAGGAUAACGAUCAUAGUUGGUGAAUUAACUGGGAAUCAACAGUUAUUUUUUGUUUUCUUAUUCUUCUCGAAUUGAAUUAACUUUUAAUUGUGUCUUUUAUAAUCUAAAUUUUUACUUAAUUGUGUCAUCGAGUUUGUCAACAAUCAACUAAUCAUGAACAAGAUUGUUUUCCUUUCCCUCGGGGGCAUUGGGAUCGCCAUUGCCCUUAUAUCAGCAAUAGUUUUAGGACAAUUUCCCAAUAUGAUUCAAAAACAAGUCUCAAAGCAACUUGUAGUCUCAGAAUGCUCAGAAGAUUAUGAGAAAUUCCUAGCACCGAAUGUGCCAAUUUACUUGAAAUUUUACGUUUUCCAUGUGGAUAAUCCAGAAGCAAUUUUGGCCGGUGAAAAGCCGAUAUUAGUUCAAAAGGGUCCAUACAGUUUCUUAGAGAAACGAGUAAAGGAAAUUGAUGGUUACCAUGAAUGUGGAGACGAAGUUGUUUAUAAAGAGACGAAAACUUAUCAUUUUGAUCCAGAGACUUCACGGAAAUCGGCCUCACUUGACGACGUCGUUACUCACAUCAAUGUACCUGCAAUGACUGUUAUGGGCGCUUCUUUCCAUUUACCGCAAAAAGGAAUGGGUCAAAUAUUCCGAAGCCUUUUCCCCCAAUUGGCGACACAAAAAACGAAAACAACAAUGUUCCUUAAUCACACAGUUCGAGAAUUGUUAUUCGAAACGUAUCCAAUUGAAUUUAUUGAUGACCUGAACUCGGUUUUAGCUCAAUUGAAACAACCAUCAGUUAAUCUAACCGAUUUCGCUUUCUUUAUGGAUAAAAACGCAACCGAUGAAGGUGAAUUCAGAGUCCACACUGGAGCCAAAAAAAUCAAGAAUCUUCUUCAUAUCGAGAGUUGGAAAGGUUCACCUCAAGUUGAUUUUUGGAUAGAAAAUUCAACUUGUAACAACAUCGUUGGAACCGAUGGAUCAGCAUUUCCUCCUAAUGUCAAGAAGAACAGUAAACUUGAGAUAUUUACAACUGAUCUUUGCAGAUCUUUCCCAUUGGUGUACAAAGAGAAAGUAAAAGUAAAAGGAAUCUCAACUUACCGAUUUGUUAUUCCACCGGAAGCUUUUUAUGGACCGGAAAAGAAUCCAGAAAACAAGUGUUUCUGUAUUAAUCCCGAUCCAAAGACUUGUAAUCACAACGGACUAUUGGACAUAUCAAGUUGCCGACAAUUCGCUCCAUUAGUGGCCUCAUCCCCUCACUUUUUCCAAGCCGAUGAUGACCUUUACAACGCGAUUAUUGGUCUAGAUGAAAGAAAAGCAGAUCGAUACCAAACCUAUUUAGAUAUUGAACCAAUCACCGGAAAGGUUUUAUCGGCUUUCAAGAGAUUACAAAUCUCUGCUUGGCUCAAGAAUGACUACAGUAUUGAAAAAACCAACACUAAUGUUUACAUGCCGGUUAUUUGGGUUGAAGAGGGUUUUACUUUAACUGAUGAACUUGCCGAUGAAUUUAAAUCAAAGGUUACCAAAAAAGUGAACCUUGGAUCAAGUCUACUCAUUACUGCUCUAAUCAUUGGAUUACUUUUAAUUGUCGCUGGUUUAGGAUUAUUUUUCUAUAAUAAAUUUCAAUCUGACGUUCAAAUCGAGGAUCCUAGAGCCAAAGUGAUGAAAAGUUGGAGACCCGAAGUGACCCCUGACCUGCCCUCAAAUUCUGUUGCUAAAGAAAACAAUUCUCAGACAAAAUUCUGAUUCAAGAUUGAACAAGAAAAUUCAUAAGUUCAGCUCAAUUCUCGAAUCUUCCUUCAAUCCCAAUGGUAGAAAGAGCGACCUUUGAGUAAUUGAUGAAAUUAACAAUCAUUUUUAAAUUCUUAACAAUUGACAUACAUUAAAUAACAAUUAAAAAUGUAUAAAAAUAUCAUCAAUAAACAUGAAUUUUGGACAAUAAGUUCAA